rnacentral:rRNA from 1 species
GAUGAACGCUGGCGGCGUGCCUAAUACAUGCAAGUCGAGCGAACAGACGAGGAGCUUGCUCCUCUGACGUUAGCGGCGGACGGGUGAGUAACACGUGGAUAACCUACCUAUAAGACUGGGAUAACUUCGGGAAACCGGAGCUAAUCCCGGAUAAUCUAUUGAACCGCAUGGUUCAAUAGUGAAAGACGGUUUUGCUGUCACUUAUAGAUGGAUCCGCGCCGCAUUAGCUAGUUGGUAAGGUAACGGCUUACCAAGGCAACGAUGCGUAGCCGACCUGAGAGGGUGAUCGGCCACACUGGAACUGAGACACGGUCAAGACUCCUACGGGAGGCAGCAGUAGGGAAUCUUCCGCAAUGGGCGAAAGCCUGACGGAGCAACGCCGCGUGAGUGAUGAAGGUCUUCGGAUCGUAAAACUCUGUUAUUAGGGAAGAACAAAUGUGGAAGUAACUAUGCACGUCUUGACGGUACCUAAUCAGAAAGCCACGGCUAACUACGUG